rnacentral:rRNA from 1 species
UACGUAGGGGGCAAGCGUUGUCCGGAAUUAUUGGGCGUAAAGCGCGCGCAGGCGGUCUUUUAAGUCUGGUGUUUAAACCCAGGGCUCAACCUUGGGUCGCACUGGAAACUGGGAGACUGGAGUGUAGGAGAGGAAAGUGGAAUUCCAGCGUGUAGCGGUGAAAUGCGUAGAGAUGUGGAAGAACACCAGUGGCGAAGGCGGCCCGGCUGGGCAGUGGCUGACGCUGAAGCGCGACAGCGUGGGGAGCAAACAGGG